AUGCCGGCAAAGCCCCAGGAGCUGGGAGGACAGGGCACACAUUCCACUCACAGCCCCGCAAGGAAGCAGCCUGCCCACUCCUCACGCUGGGCCUCCAGAGCUGCUGGAGAGCCGCCCCGUCAGUGGGACUUCGUUGUGGGUGUCCCAGAAAGCCAUGCCUCCUGCAUCAGCCACCAGCCUGCAGCUGCCCCUGACUGGCAGGCGGACUGUCCAUCCUGCCUGAGCCUGGCCCUGGGCCCGCCACCUGCUACGGCCUCCGCACCCCUGGUCCCCUGUCACCUGGCCGUGCUGCAUGGGGGAAGCGCCACCUGCCCCAGUCUGCCAGAUGCCCUCAUGCCUCCCUGGUCACGGCCAGCAGGUGACCCUCCCGACCCUGCCCCGUCUCCACCCAGGAGGAAGGGCCGGCCUCGGGCCUUUGCGUGGAGCCCCCACAGCACAGAGCUUCCCCAGGUGCAGGCUGCAGCGGAGGUGGGGCGGGGGACGGCCCUGGAUGCCUGGGAGCUCUGGGUGCUGGGGGCACGGGCUGAGGAGCAGGGACCGGGUGGUGGGGUCAUACACAGGGGAGCCCGGGCGCGGGGGCGCUGCUCAGGGCCGGCGCUGGGUGGGUGGGGUGCAGGGCGGGGGCACAGCAAAGAGCACCGAGAGCAACCAGAGAUUACAGCUCUGCUGCCCGGAGGACAGGAGACACGUUCACGCCGGCAGCACACUCAACGCGCAGAGCAGACACAGUGCACACACACGCACAGACCACAUAGACGUGUGGGCAGUGCACAUGGACAACACACAGUGCACAUGCAUGCACAGUGUACACACACGCACAGACCACACAGACACGUGGGCAGUGCACACAUGUGCAUAAGGCAACACACAGUGUAUGCAAUGUAUGUACAGACCACACAGAUACACGUGGGCAGUGCUACAGGCAACACACAUGGUGUACACACAUGCAUGCAUGAACACAGACAUACAUAUGGGCACAUCAUACAGAGAGAUGGACAUUUCACACAUCUGCACACAGAUACCACAAACAUGCACAUGGACCGUACACAUGCACAUCCAAACACAGCACACACACAUAGAGUGCUCACACAUGCACAGACACAUGUGGUACAUAGCACAUGGCACAUUGUCACAUGGACAGGGCACAAACAUGCACAAACACAACAGGUGCACACAACGCACAUAUGGAGAGUACACACAUGCACACACGUGGACAGUAUACACGUGCACACAGACACAACAUGCAAUGCACACCCAGUGCACACAUUUGCAUGUACAAAUAACACUCACACGUGGACACACUUGGGAGAGUACACGAUGCACACAUGGACAGUGCACACACAUGCACACAGGCACACAUGGACACUGCACAUGUGCACACACAGUACACACACACAGUGCACAUGCACACACGCACAUCCACAAGCACACAUGCAUGCUCCCAUCGCCCCGGUGUGGCCGGUGCAGGGUGCCCCCAGAGGUGAGCACCCGCCAGCCUUGCCAGAGGUGUGGGUAACCAGCUGCCACCUGAAGAUUUGUUCACUUGACCUCCAGACCCCCGAUGUGGGGAAGAUGGAGAACCGCCUUCUGGCUGCAGCUGGGCCCCUGCGGCAUUGCUGGGGCAGAGGGCUGUCUGCGAGGCUCCACACCCUCGGGGUCCCAGCGGGGACGCGGCCCAAGGGGCAAGAACUGUUCCUUGGGUGGAUGCAGACUCUUUGA
rnacentral:lncRNA from 12 species